GCCGGGAUGGCGGAGUGGAUAACGCGCAGGCCUUGAGAGCCUGUGGACCUUUUGGUCCGCGUGGGUUCGAGUCCCACUCCCGGCG
rnacentral:tRNA from 1 species